GAUGAACGCUAGCGGCAGGCUUAACACAUGCAAGUCGAGGGGUAACGAUGGUGCUUGCAUCAGGCGACGACCGGCGAACGGGUGCGUAACGCGUAUAGAAUCUGCCUUGUACAGGAGGAUAGCCUUUAGAAAUGAAGAUUAAUACUCCAUAAUGUAUUGUAAUGGCAUCAUUAUAAUAUUAAAGAUUUAUUGGUACAAGAUGACUAUGCGUCCUAUUAGUUAGUUGGUAAGGUAAUGGCUUACCAAGGCGGCGAUAGGUAGGGGGUCUGAGAGGAUUAUCCCCCACACUGGUACUGAGACACGGACCAGACUCCUACGGGAGGCAGCAGUGAGGAAUAUUGGACAAUGGGCGGAAGCCUGAUCCAGCCAUGCCGCGUGCAGGAAGACUGCCCUAUGGGUUGUAAACUGCUUUUAUACAGGAAGAAACACCAAUACGUGUAUUGGCUUGACGGUACUGUAAGAAUAAGCACCGGCUAACUCCGUGCCAGCAGCCGCGGUAAUACGGAGGGUGCAAGCGUUAUCCGGAAUCAUUGGGUUUAAAGGGUCCGCAGGCGGUCGAUUAAGUCAGAGGUGAAAUCCCAUAGCUUCACUAUGGAACUGCCUUUGAUACUGGUUGACUUGAGUCAUAUGGAAGUAGAUAGAAUAAGUAGUGUAGCGGUGAAAUGCAUAGAUAUUACUUAGAAUACCGAUUGCGAAGGCAGUCUACUACGUAUGUACUGACGCUCAUGGACGAAAGCGUGGGGAGCGAACAGG
rnacentral:rRNA from 1 species